UUAUAUGUUGUGAUAUCUUAGGCUCUGU
rnacentral:piRNA from 1 species